AUCGCUUCUUGGCCUUUUGGCUAAGAUCAAGUGUAUUAUUUAUU
rnacentral:snRNA from 1 species